ACCCGAUUGACGCAAUUGGUUAGCGUGUCAGACUUUUACAAAAGGUGAAAUCUGAAAGUUAUGAGUUCGAGUCUCAUAUCGGGUG